GACGAACGCUGGCGGCGUGCUUAACACAUGCAAGUCGAACGGCACGGCCCUUCGGGGUACUCGAGUGGAGAACGGGUGAGUAACACGUGGGUGACCUGCCCUGCACUUUGGGAUAAGCCUGGGAAAAUGGGUCUAAUACUUAAUAGGACCACGCGCUUCAUGGUGUGUGGUGGCAAGCUUUUGCGGUGUGUGAUGGGCCCGCGGCCUGUCAGCUUGUUGGUGGGGUAAUGGCCUACCAAGGCGACGAGGGGUAGCCGGGCUGGUAGGGGGACCGGCCACCCUGGAAUUGGAAUACGGCACGGACCCCUACGGGAGGCAACAGUGCGGAAGAUUGCACAAUGGGAGGAAGCCUGGUGCAGCGACGCCGCGUGGGGGAUGACGGCCUUCGGGUAGUAUACCUCUUUCACCAGGGACGAAGCGUAAAUGACGGUACCUGGAGAAGAAGCACCGGCCAACUACGUG
rnacentral:rRNA from 1 species